GCCGAUGUGGCGAAAUGGCAGACGCGGCAGAUUCAAAAUCUGUUGUCCGAGAGGACAUGUCGGUUCAAGUCCGACCAUCGGUACCA
rnacentral:tRNA from 1 species